rnacentral:rRNA from 1 species
UCAAGAACCUUCCACAAUGGACGAAAGUCUGAUGGAGCGACGCCGCGUGAUUGAUGAAGUGCUUCGGCACGUAAAGAUCUUUUAUGAGGGAAGAAGUUUAUUGACGGUACCUCAUGAAUAAGGGGCUCCUAACUCUGUGCCAGCAGGAGCGGUAAUACAGAGGCCCCGAGCGUUAUCCGGAAUUAUUGGGCGUAAAGGGUGUGUAGGUGGCGUCAUUAGUCGUUUUUGAAAGUCCGGGGCUCAACCUCGGGAACGGGAACGAAACGGUGAUGCUUGAGUGUGUGAGAGGUAAGCGGAACUCUCUGUGUAGGGGUGAAAUCCGUUGAUAUAGAGGGGAACACCAAAAGCGAAGGCAGCUUACUGGCACAUUACUGACACUGAAACACGAAAGCGUGGGUAG